rnacentral:rRNA from 1 species
ACCUACGGGAGGCAGCAGUGGGGAAUAUUGCACAAUGGGCGCAAGCCUGAUGCAGCAACGCCGUGUGAGUGAAGAAGGUUUUCGAUCGUAAAACUCUGUCCUAAGGGAAGAACAAAUGACGGUACCUUAGGAGGAAGCCCCGGCUAACUACGUGCCAGCAGCCGCGGUAAUACGUAGGGGGCAAGCGUUAUCCGGAAUCACUGGGCGUAAAGGGUGCGUUAGGCGGCUUAGCAAGCCAGGGGUGAAGGCAUUGGCUCAACCAAUGUAAGCCUUUGGAACUGUUAAGCUUGAGUGCAGGAGAGGUAAGUGGAAUUCCUAGUGUAGAGGUGAAAUUCGUAG